UUUGAUCAGUGAAUUUAUUUUAACGAAAUUUAACAGCAAAAGUAGAUAUAUAAUAUUUCUAAACCAAUAUGGCACAUGGAUAUGACUUAAGAAAUCCAAAACGACCACGGCCAACGGACGAUCCCAACGGUUGCUUGUACAGUGAAGGUGAUGAAGUGAUAGCACAAGAUCCACGGAAUCCUCGGGAUAAGACAUGAUAUGACGCUGAAAUUAAAGAGUGUAUUCGAGGCGGGGAAUUGUAUCAUGUUCAUUACAUAAAUUGGCACGACGAGAAGUAUGACUUGAAAUUGUCUGGAAAGUAUAUAAGGGAAAAAAAUGCCCCGAAAAAACGAAGAGUUACACGACGACAGAAAAGUCCACCACGACCAGUAAUACUACCACCACCACAGCAACCAAUACAACGACCACGUUCAGACGGAAUACUUCAGUACCAAAUGAAAAAAUCCAGAUGUAGUAGAUGCCGGGCAUGGCCUCAAAAUAGCAAUUCAUUUCAA